ACAAAGCACAAGACUCUCCUCUC
rnacentral:piRNA from 1 species